UACGGGGGGGGGCAAGCGUUGUUCGGAAUUACUGGGCGUAAAGGGCUCGUAGGCGGCCAACUAAGUCAGACGUGAAAUCCCUCGGCUUAACCGGGGAACUGCGUCUGAUACUGGAUGGCUUGAGGUUGGGAGAGGGAUGCGGAAUUCCAGGUGUAGCGGUGAAAUGCGUAGAUAUCUGGAGGAACACCGGUGGCGAAGGCGGCAUCCUGGACCAAAUCUGACGCUGAGGAGCGAAAGCCAGGGGAGCAAAGCGGG
rnacentral:rRNA from 1 species